UUCCAGACUCCUACGGGAGGCAGCAGUGGGGAAUAUUGCACAAUGGGGGAAACCCUGAUGCAGCGACGCCGCGUGAGUGAAGAAGUAUUUCGGUAUGUAAAGCUCUAUCAGCAGGGAAGAAAAAAGACGGUACCUGACUAAGAAGCCCCGGCUAACUACGUGCCAGCAGCCGCGGUAAUACGUAGGGGGCAAGCGUUAUCCGGAAUUACUGGGUGUAAAGGGUGCGUAGGUGGCAUGGUAAGUCAGAAGUGAAAGCCCGGGGCUUAACCCCGGGACUGCUUUUGAAACUGUCAUGCUGGAGUGCAGGAGAGGUAGGCGGAAUUCCUAGUGUAGCGGUGAAAUGCGUAGAUAUUAGGAGGAACACCAGUGGCGAAGGCGGCUUACUGGACUGUCACUGACACUGAUGCACGAAAGCGUGGGGAGCAAACAGGAUUAGAUACCCCAGUACC
rnacentral:rRNA from 1 species